AGUGAACGCUGGCGGUAGGCCUAACACAUGCAAGUCGAACGGCAGCACAGUAAGAGCUUGCUCUUACGGGUGGCGAGUGGCGGACGGGUGAGGAAUACAUCGGAAUCUACUUUUUCGUGGGGGAUAACGUAGGGAAACUUACGCUAAUACCGCAUACGACCUACGGGUGAAAGCAGGGGAUCUUCGGAUCUUGCGCGAUUGAAUGAGCCGAUGUCGGAUUAGCUAGUUGGCGGGGUAAAGGCCCACCAAGGCGACGAUCCGUAGCUGGUCUGAGAGGAUGAUCAGCCACACUGGAACUGAGACUCGGUCCAGACACCUACGGGAGGCAGCAGUGGGGAAUAUUGGACAAUGGGCGCAAGCCUGAUCCAGCCAUACCGCGUGGGUGAAGAAGGCCUUCGGGUUGUAAAGCCCUUUUGUUGGGAAAGAAAAGCAGCAGGUUAAUACCCCGCUGUUCUGACGGUACCCAAAGAAUAAGCACCGGCUAACUUCGUG
rnacentral:rRNA from 1 species